AUCUUCUCGUCUUCUAUUGUUAAGGCUUGGCCGGUGAACUUGCUGACUGCCGGUAAUAAUAUGUCAUGAAUGUUGAAGAAAAGCCGUGUGGCAGGAGAGAAAUUUCUUCAUAGCAUCGACCAUCAGACCACCACUAGCAGUGACCAGCGAGAGAUAGUGGUAGAAGGUAGUUAAAAAAGUUGAACGAAUCGUUUUUCCAGUAGAAGCACCAAUGAUAGCAAAAUUGUUUGAUGUAUAGCAUGCAUACAUGUUUGUAUUAUAGUUCAAUUCUUUAAGGACUUCAUUUUUGGAAUUUGACUUUUGGAACAUUAUAGGCUCAUACUCCUUCUAUCCAUUUUGCUCUGUUCACAAAGACAUGCAAUGAUAUUUGAUUAUGUGGUUGUUUCAUGACUUCAUGUGUGUUAAA